GGCAGGCUUAACACAUGCAAGGUCGAGGGCAGCAUACCCAGCAAUGGGUGAUGGCGACCGGCGGAAGGGUGCGUAACGCGUGAGCAACAUACCCUAUACAGGGGGAUAAGCCAGGGAAACUUGGUCUAAUAUCCCAUAGGAAAUAGAUAAGGCAUCUUAUUAUUUUAAAGCUUCGGUGGUAUAGGAUUGGCUCGCGUGACAUUAGCUAGAUGGAGGGUAACGGCCCACCAUGGCAAUGAUGUCUAGGGGUUCUGAGAGGAAGAUCCCCCACACUGGGACUGAGACACGGCCCAGACUCCUACGGGAGGCAGCAGUGAGGAAUAUUGGACAAUGGAUGGAAAUCUGAUCCAGCCAUGCCGCGUGCAGGAAAGACGGCCCUAUGGGUUGUAAACUGCUUUUAUACGGGAGCAAUAAGGUCUAUGCAUAGAUUGAUGAGAGUACCGUAUGAAUAAGCAUCGGCUAACUCCGUGCCAGCCGCCGC
rnacentral:rRNA from 1 species